GACAGAGGGUGCAAACGUUGUUCGGAAUUACUGGGCGUAAAGGGCGCGUAGGCGGCCUUCUAAGUCGAACGUGAAAUCCCCGGGCUCAACCCGGGAACUGCGUCCGAUACUGGAAGGCUUGAAUCCGGGAGAGGGAUGCGGAAUUCCAGGUGUAGCGGUGAAAUGCGUAGAUAUCUGGAGGAACACCGGUGGCGAGGGCGGCAUCCUGGACCGGCAUUGACGCUGAGGCGCGAAAGCCAGGGGAGCAAACGGG
rnacentral:rRNA from 1 species